UGGGCGGGACCGGGGUGAGUAAUGUCUGGGAAACGGCCUGAUGGAGGGGGAUAACUACUGGAAACGGUAGCUAAUACCGCAUAACGUCGCAAGACCAAAGAGGGGGACCUUCGGGCCUCUUGCCAUCGGAUGUGCCCAGAUGGGAUUAGCUAGUAGGUGGGGUAACGGCUCACCUAGGCGACGAUCCCUAGCUGGUCUGAGAGGAUGACCAGCCACACUGGAACUGAGACACGGUCCAG
rnacentral:rRNA from 1 species